CUCUCUUCCCACAUGUCAACUGAGGAAAAGAGGAGGGGGAUCUUCUUGGAAAGAAUCUGCAAGGCAUGACUGUCUGCCUGUAACGAGCUGUUGAACUCCCCUGACAGUUCUGACAGUAAACUGCAAUGGCGGAGGACAGAUUCCUUCCUCCCUGAGAGGCAAGAGUGGAUGUCAUCUCACACUGACAGACAUCUACUGAUCCCAGGGCUCAGGCAUUAUCUUGGUGAAGAUCAUAUUUGGAGACCCACCUUCCCACCUUCUUCCUGAACUCUCUCAACAACUCAUCCCUGACCACUGGCUGCGUCUGACUUCAACAUGGCCCCUCAAGACACCAACACUGACCCUUCUGAUUGUCAAAAACGAUCGACCGGUACCUCUUCUAUCUUUUCUUUCCAAAACAAUUGAGUGUGCUGCCUCUGACCAACACUCCUGUUAAUUAUCUCAGAACCAAUCAGUCAAGCUUCAAGACGGGUCAUUCCACCAACACUCUGGCGCUCUGUGUCACAGAGGCUUCACAUGCUGCUCAAACUGACUCUCUCUCCCUUUGUUCUAAUCCUCUUAGAUCUAUCUGCCGCCUUCAACACCAUGAACCACCACAUCGUCCUCUCCACCCUCCAGGGUUCGGUACCUUAGGCCCUACACACUCUCGGGUUGCUUCCUGGCAGGCUGCUCCUACCAUGUGACUUGUAGAGAAUAUUUGUCCGCCCUGCUAGUCUUUCAAAGCCAAAC
ensembl:lncRNA